AUGAGAGAAUUUGAAAUUAAAGGGGGAUAUGAAAAAUACGAAAAAUGGAAAAGAAGUAUUCAUUGCAAUGGACGCCGUCUUCAAGAUUGGAUAAAGGCAUGCUGGUGGUAGAUAGCUCCGUGUUUCCUGGGAAGGACAUCUACCAAGCAGACCCACCUAGGAUAAGGGGACAGAGGGAAAACCCAACAAGCCCAGAGUGAACAAAGAAAAACAUAACUGCCCUGUGACCUUCUGCCAUGAUGUCUGAGGCCCUCAUCUGAAAAUUGUUAGUUGUUCAUCUCUGGCAUGUUACUUUUAAAAUUCAGUGAUAAUAAAAAUGGAUUUUAUCAUAUGGCAACAACCCAUGUAA